AGGAUUAUGUCUGCUGUCUACCCCGUGGGAUGCAGACAGAGACCACGAAGUUACAGAGCCCUCUCCAUCUUCACUCCCCCGUUCAGGGCUCCUGGCUGAGCCCCGACUGUGUGUGAAGUCAGGCCCUCUGAAGAGGAGCAUUCGCAUCCACAUCUGACCCCCUAUUAAUGGGACAAAUGGAUUCCUUGAAUGAGUCCUUUCUACCAUCCAAGUGUAGGCCAAGACUUCCGCCCAGGCCUCCUGAUUCCCACAGACACAGCAAUAUUAAGAUUAGGUCAUUUUUCUUUUCUUUUUCUUUUUUUUUUUUUUUUGACUGAGUCUUGCUCUGUCAUCCAGGAUGGAGUGCAGUGGCACAAUCUUGGUUCACUG
rnacentral:antisense_RNA from 1 species